rnacentral:lncRNA from 1 species
CAGUCACCAUCAGUUAAACUGUAACACCGCUGGUAUGUCCGCGAGCAUGAGCUCUUGAAGCUCCGCACUCAUCUGAAAAGACACCUUCCCAGCAGACUGAAACGCUGAUCCAUCCUGUCUGCAGCUCCACUGGCCUCUGCAAACAGCCAUCUAUCUCCUGAAAGCCAUGGUACACUCUGCCUGCCAACAGUAAUACAUUACAACCAGACAUCGAGGCAGAGGGUGCUUUCUUUACUGCCCCUC